rnacentral:rRNA from 1 species
UACGUAGGGUGCGAGCGUUAAUCGGAAUUACUGGGCGUAAAGCGUGCGCAGGCGGUUCGACAAGUCUGAUGUGAAAGCCCCGGGCUCAACCUGGGAAUGGCAUUGGAAACUGGCGAGCUAGAGUGUGGCAGAGGGGGGUGGAAUUCCGCGUGUAGCGGUGAAAUGCGUAGAUAUCUGGAGGAAUACCGGUGGCGAAGGCGGCAUCCGGGACCGGCAUUGACGCUGAGUGAGCGAAAGCGUGGGGAGCGAACAGG